UAUAGCCUAGUGGACAUGGCAUCUGCCCGGUAAGCGGAACACUGUGGGUUCGAUUCCCAUCCCUGGACAC